CCUACGGGUGGCAGCAGUAGGGAAUAUUGCUCAAUGGGGGAAACCCUGAAGCAGCAACGCCGCGUGCAGGAUGACGGUUUUCCGAUUUUAAACUUCUUUUUUUAGAGAAGUAAAUUACGGUAUGUAACGACUAUUCAACGUCUAACUCCGUUCCAGCAGCCUCGGUACUACGGCGGGUGCCAGCGUUACUCGGAAUCACUGGGCGUAAAGAGCGCGUAGGCGGGUUAGCAAGUCAGAUGUGAAAUCCUAGUGCUUAACCAUAGAACUGCAGUUGAUACUGUUAUUCUAGAGUUUGGGAGAGGUAGGUGGAAUGCGUGGUGUAGGGGUAAAAUGCGUAGAGAUCACGAGGAACACCGAUUGCGAAGGCGACUUGCUAGAACGUAACUGACGCUGAUGCGCGAAAGCGUGGGGAGCAAACAGGAUUAGAUACCCCGGUAGUC
rnacentral:rRNA from 1 species